rnacentral:tRNA from 1 species
GGCCCGUUCGUCUAACGGUUUAGGACAUGCGGUUUUCAUCCGUAAAAUAGGAGUUCGAUUCUCCUACGGGCUA